GGUGGCUUAGUGGUAGAGCUCUUGCCUUGCAUGCCUGAGGCCCUGGGUUCGAAUCCUCAGCACCA
rnacentral:tRNA from 1 species